rnacentral:rRNA from 1 species
UACAGAGACCUCGAGCGUUAUCCGGAUUCAUUGGGCGUAAAGCGUCUGUAGGGGGCUAUGUUAGUCUUCGGUUAAAUUACGGGGCUUAACUCCGUAACCGCCGGGGAAACGGCAUAGCUUUGAGCGCGCAAGAGGCAAGCGGAACUCAUGGUGUAGCAGUGAAAUGCGUUGAUAUCAUGGGGAACACCAAAGGCGAAGGCAGCUUGCUGGGGCGCCGCUGACCCUGAGAGACGAAAGCGUGGGUA